CCUACGGGAGGCAGCAGUGAGGAAUAUUGGUCAAUGGACGAGAGUCUGAACCAGCCAAGUAGCGUGAAGGAUGACUGCCCUAUGGGUUGUAAACUUCUUUUAUAUGGGAGUAAAAUGUUCCACGUGUGGGAUAUUGUGUGUACCAGAUGAAUAAGCAUCGGCUAACUCCGUGCCAGCAGCCGCGGUAAUACGGGGGAUGCGAGCGUUAUCCGGAUUUAUUGGGUUUAAAGGGGGCGUAGGUGGAUGGUGAAGGCAGUUGUGAAAUUUUGGGGCUCAACCGUAAAAUUGCAGUUGAAACUGGAAGUCUUGAGUACAGUAGAGGUGUGCGGAAUGCGUGGUGUAGCGGUGAAAUGCUUAGAUAUCACGAAGAACUCCGAUUGCGAAGGCAGCACACUGGACUGCAACUGACACUGAGGCUCGAAAGUGUGGGUAUCAAACAGGAUUAGAUACCCUGGUAGUC
rnacentral:rRNA from 1 species